rnacentral:tRNA from 1 species
GCCGGGAUGGCGGAAAUGGUAGACGCAAGGGACUUAAAAUCCCUCGGGGCCUAGCUCCGUGCCGGUUCGAUUCCGGCUCUCGGCA